CCUUGACCAACCGGUUUACUUUAUGUUGGGUAGCUCAUGCUUAGUGCUUACUUGGUACAUGGUGGUUUAACUACACAAAAUGCUUAAUCUUGCUUUACUUCUGUUAUACCUUUCAUUAAGACAAGAUCAUUAUUUGUUAAUCGGAACAUGGAGCGACCACCCAGGAAAACAGUGCUACCACAAGACUAAAUGGCUCUGGUCUUGGCUGAUUAAUUAGAAACUCUAGCUUGGGGUUACCUUACCGGAAGGGCAAGAGGGGAGGCGUUGAUGGGAUAUAGCACUCGCUCUCUUGGGAAGUGGGCUUGGCUAAGACACUAU
rnacentral:lncRNA from 1 species